rnacentral:rRNA from 1 species
GAUGAACGCUGGCGGCGUGCCUAAUACAUGCAAGUCGAGCGAACGGACGAGAAGCUUGCUUCUCUGAUGUUAGCGGCGGACGGGUGAGUAACACGUGGAUAACCUACCUAUAAGACUGGGAUAACUUCGGGAAACCGGAGCUAAUACCGGAUAAUAUUUUGAACCGCAUGGUUCAAAAGUGAAAGACGGUCUUGCUGUCACUUAUAGAUGGAUCCGCGCUGCAUUAGCUAGUUGGUAAGGUAACGGCUUACCAAGGCAACGAUGCAUAGCCGACCUGAGAGGGGGAUCGGCCACACUGGAACUAGGACACGGUCCAGACUCCUACGGGAGGCAGCAGUAGGGAAUCUUCCGCAAUGGGCGAAAGCCUGACGGGGCAACGCCGCGUGAUUGAUGAAGGUCUUCGGAUCGUAAAACUCUGUUAUUAGGGAAGAACAUAUGUGUAAGUAACUGUGCACAUCUUGACGGUACCUAUCAGAAAGCCACGGCUAACUACGUG